CCAGAUUUUCUCUGUCGUUCAUUAGCGAGGCGGACGUUGAUGCAGGGAGGAUCGUUCGGUCAGAACAAGCUGGAGAGAGACCAGAAUCCCGGCUGAGCAGCAGAAGGAGGCGCUGCAGGAAACCAGGAGGAUGAGAACCAACAGAGCCUGAACUGAUUCUGAUGACUACAUCAUGCUGCUGGAAUCCAGACAGGAGAACAAACAUCUUUCAUUAAUCUGAGCGGCAACCAGCGAGCGAUCCCAGCAGAGGAACAAACAUUAAAACAUUUAAAGAACGAAAACUCUGCAGGAGGACAAUAAAAAAGCACCAGAUAAUGGACUGAAGAUGGAUUGAUCCACCAGGAAUCUCUGCCCACAAAACAAACACAAAGCCUUGAGAAAUGUCUGUAAAGUAAAGAAGAGGAAGAAGAAGAAGAAAUGUUUAUGCAUG